rnacentral:rRNA from 1 species
GACGAACGCUGGCGGCGUGCUUAACACAUGCAAGUCGAACGGAAAGGCUCCAGCUUGCUGGAGUACUCGAGUGGCGAACGGGUGAGUAACACGUGGGUAAUCUGCCCUGCACUCUGGGAUAAGCCUGGGAAACUGGGUCUAAUACUGGAUAUGACCUUUCUCCUUAUGGGGUUUGGUGGAAAGUUUUUCGGUGUAGGAUGAGCCCGCGGCCUAUCAGCUUGUUGGUGGGGUGAUGGCCUACCAAGGCGACGACGGGUAGCCGGCCUGAGAGGGUGAUCGGCCACAUUGGGACUGAGAUACGGCCCAGACUCCUACGGGAGGCAGCAGUGGGGAAUAUCGCACAAUGGGCGGAAGCCUGAUGCAGCGACGCCGCGUGAGGGAUGACGGCCUUCGGGUUGUAAACCUCUUUCAGCAGGGACGAAGCGUAAGUGACGGUACCUGCAGAAGAAGCACCGGCUAACUAUGUG